rnacentral:rRNA from 1 species
AGAGUUUGAUCAUGGCUCAGAACGAACGUUGGCGGCGUGGAUUAGGCAUGCAAGUCGAACGAAUCCCACCAGCAAUGGUGGGGGAAGUGGCGAAAGGGGCAGUAAUGUGUGGAUAACCUACCCUGGGGUUGGGCAUAGCCGUUCUAACGAACGGGUAAUUCCCAGCGAUUCGGCGUGAUGGCAUCAUCGUGCCGGGAAAGAUUUAUCGCCUCGGGAGGGGUCCAUAUCGUAUUACCUAGUUGGUGAGGUAACGGCUCACCAAGGGGAAGAUGCGUAGCGGGUGUGAGAGCACGACCCGCGCCACUGGCACUGUGACACUGGCCAGACACCUACGGGUGGCUGCAGUCGAAGAUCUUCGUCAAUGGACGCAAGUCUGAACGAGCGACGCCGCGUGUGCGAUGAAGGCCUUCGGGUUGUAAAGCACAAAAGUGGGGAUAAAAGCCGAAAGGUCUGAUUGAUCCACAGUAAGCUCGGGCUAAGUUCGUGCCAGCAGCCGCGGUAAGACGAACCGAGCGAACGUUGUUCGGAAUCACUGGGCUUAAAGGGCGCGUAGGCGGGCGAUCAAGUCGGUGGUGAAAUCCUACAGCUUAACUGUAGAACUGCCUCCGAUACUGGUUGUCUCGAGGAAGGUAGGGGCGUGCGGAACAGUUGGUGGAGCGGUGAAAUGCGUUGAUAUCAACUGGAACUCCGGUGGCGAAGGCGGCACGCUGGACCUUUUCUGACGCUGAGGCGCGAAAGCCAGGGGAGCAAACGGGAUUAGAUACCCUAGUAGUCC